UAGGGAAUCUUCCACAAUGGGCGAAAGCCUGAUGGAGCAACGCCGCGUGAGUGAUGAAGGCCUUCGGGUUGUAAAACUCUGUCAUUCGGGACGAACCGGAGUCUGAGGAAAUGCAGACUCUCUGACGGUACCGGAGGAGGAAGCCCCGGCUAACUACGUGCCAGCAGCCGCGGUAAUACGUAGGGGGCAAGCGUUGUCCGGAUUCACUGGGCGUAAAGCGCGCGCAGGCGGUGAUGUAAGUCUGAGGUGAAAACCCGAAGCUCAACUUCGGGACUGCCUUGGAAACUGCGUCACUUGAGGAUAGGAGAGGCAAGGGGAAUUCCACGUGUAGCGGUGAAAUGCGUAGAGAUGUGGAGGAACACCUGUGGCGAAGGCGCCUUGCUGGCCUAUUUCUGACGCUGAGGCGCGAAAGCGUGGGGAGCAAACAGG
rnacentral:rRNA from 1 species